rnacentral:rRNA from 1 species
ACGUCGUUAUCACUGCGUUAUGUCUGAAAUUGUCGGCGUGCACUUCUCCCCUAGUAGGACGUCGCGACCCGUUGGGUGCUGGUCUACGGCCCGGUAGGUCGUCUGACGCGUUUACAAUCAACCGUUUACGUGUCAGACCUCUGGAUGCCCGACCGGCUGCCCGGCGGUAUAGAACGAUAAUUAACGGUAUUGAGCCGCAUUAAGUGCGUUCAGGCUUGUCGGCAGGCUCGCCUCGCUCGGAUUUACGGACCUAGCGCCGUUGCCGGGUGCUUGGUGUGGCUGUGGCCGAUGAUGUCCUCGGACUGGCUCUUUAUAUUCGAACGGAUAUACCGGUCGGCGACGCUACUGCUUUGGGUACUUUCAGGAC